AGCGAACGCUGGCGGCAGGCCUAACACAUGCAAGUCGAGCGGCCGUAGCAAUACGGCAGCGGCAGACGGGAGAGUAACACGUGGGAACGUGCCCUUUGGUUCGGAAUAACGCAGGGAAACUUGCGCUAAUACCGGAUAAGCCCUUACGGGGAAAGAUUUAUCGCCAAUGGAGCGGCCCGCGUCUGAUUAGCUAGUUGGUGAGGUAACGGCUCACCAAGGCUACGAUCAGUAGCUGAUCUGAGAGGAU
rnacentral:rRNA from 1 species